UGUGCAUUAUAUGGUGGAUUGUGUGCAUUAUAAGGGUAAACUAGUAAAACAACCAAAUUGAAAACCGCCCAAAACGGAAGGAGCGAAUUUUCAGCGAGAUUUUGAUACAACCUUCCAUCUACUCACUCUCUCUCUCACUCCAAACGUCUAUCCCUCUCUCUACGUCUCUGCAAUUCGUCUUCCCAUUUUCCACCACUCUUCAAACCCUAGCCGCCACUGUUUUUCGUCGGGUAUCUCCAGAAAGUGAUCGUUUUCGUCGGUUUCACUCUCCAACUCUCACUCCGGUAGCGCGCGAACAAAUUAUUGAAGGCGUCGACAAGGAAUCCCACCGGAUCAGAAGCAAUUGAUUUUCGCCGAAAAGCAGCUUGAAGAUGGCCUAACAAUUGCUGAUUACAACAUACAGAAAGUGAAGCAGCCGAGGGUGGACAUUGACGAAGCGGUGUAUGGAGCAAGUUUAAUUUAGUCCCCAAGGGUUUAGCAAUCCCGUGGGCUAGGGUGUACUAUGGAGUAAGUAACACAACCAUCGGCAAAGUCCACGAGUUCCAGUCAUACCUCUAGGGUUUAGAUAUCAUCAACGUUAGGGAGUAGUUUUAACUAAUAGACAUUAUGUAAAAAUAUUUCCGUGUAAUGUAUUUUAUUGACCCAGUAAUGGACGAUAUGUGUCCUGUAAUGGAUAUGUUUCAGAGACGUUUUUGUUCU